AAAAAAGUUUUAUUUUGGCUUAAAUAAUUCUUAAUUGGGAAUUUUACAUGUAAAUUUAAGUAGAAAAUUUUAGGUUCUAAAAGAUUUAAUAAUAAAACGCAGUAUUUUAUAUUAUGUAUUUAAGCAAUUUAGAUAUAGUUAGUUAAAGAGUUUCGACUAAAAUUGUGCCAGCAGUUGCGGUUAAACAAUAGAAGUAAAGAAUUAUUAUUAGUAAAGUUUUAAUAGYAUAAGUAUUUGGAAAUUUAAAAUAAAUAGGUGAAAUUAUUAUUUUAAUAUAUUAAUUAAAAUAUGAUGCAUGGAAAAAUAAAUAAUAAACUAGGAUUAGAUACCCUAUUAUAAUAUAAGUAAAUAAAAAUACUGGAGUAAUAAUAGAUAUAAUCUUUAAACUUAAAGAAUUUGGCGGUAUUUUAAUCUCUACAGAGGAAUCUGUUUCAUAAUCGAUAGUCCACGAUAUAAUUUAUUUAAUUUGGUAUAGCUUGUAUACCGCUGUUAGUUGGGUAUAAUAAAAGUUUAUACACAAGAAAUUAAAUUAAAUAAUAAGUCAAGUCAAGGUGCAGCUAAUGGUUAAAUGAUAGUGGAUUACAAUAAUUAAAUUUAAACGGAUUAUAAUUGAAAAAUUAUAUGAAGGUGGAUUUGUAUGAAAUAUUUUAAAGUAUAAAAAUAUGAAAAAGCACUAAAAUAUGUACACAUUGCCCGUCGCUCUCGUUAAUAAGAUGAGAUAAGUCGUAACAUAGUAGAUGUAUCGGAAGGUGUAUCUAGGAAG
rnacentral:ncRNA from 1 species